GACGAACGCUGGCGGCAUGCCUAACACAUGCAAGUCGAACGGGAUCCUAGCUUGCUAGGUGAGAGUGGCGGACGGGUGAGUAACACGUGGGAAUCUGACUUUUGGUCUGGGAUAACCGCGGGAAACUGCGGCUAAUACCGGAUGCACCCGUGAGGGGAAAGAUUUAUCGCCAGAAGAGGAGCCCGCGUCCGAUUAGGUAGUUGGUGGGGUAAAGGCCUACCAAGCCGACGAUCGGUAGCUGGUCUGAGAGGAUGAUCAGCCACACUGGGACUGAGAUACGGCCCAGACUCCUACGGGAGGCAGCAGUGGGGAAUAUUGGACAAUGGGCGAAAGCCUGAUCCAGCAAUGCCGCGUGAGUGAUGAAGGCCUUAGGGUUGUAAAGCUCUUUUGCCGGGGAAGAUGAUGACGGUACCUGGAGAAUAAGCCCCGGCUAACUUCGUGCCAGCAGCCGCAGUAA
rnacentral:rRNA from 1 species